GCCCGGAUAGUUUAGCUGGCUAUAACGUCGCUCUCGUAAAGCGAAGGUCAGGAGUUCGAAUCUCUUUCCGGGCA
rnacentral:tRNA from 1 species